ACUUCAACUAUAAAUGUCUUUAGUCCUGUCACAAGCGACGAGUUGUCUGGCGCUGUCACUUCUGUAUUUUGGUGUGAGGAAUUACAAUUGCUCGGUGUGUACCACCAGGUAUUUGCCACGGUGGGGAAAAUUCUCGUAUUGAUCAUGUAACUGAACGCUGGCUGAAUCCUGAAUGCAUCCGUUGGAGGAAUAGUUAAAGCCCAGGUUUAUGAAAGCAUUUUUGGAGAGGGACGAGUGGAAGGGGACUAAUCCCGCGGUUCCCGGGCCCGUGCGCCUGUCACUUUAGGAUCACUUUGCCCCCGCCAUCUAUCUCCUCCUGAUGGGUCCAAAUUGCUGUCGAAGUCUUGGCUGCUGCAAAGUGAACGACUGGAGGGAGUUGAAGCAGAGCCAUUCGGUCGAGAUAACGGGGACUCCCUGAGAAAUAUAUUCCCUUCUGUUUUCAAUGGACCUUGGCUUCCCAGCCUAAAAUUAAAAUUAUUUUUGCUAUC